rnacentral:rRNA from 1 species
CCCUUAGAUGUCCUGGGCCGCACGCGCGCUACACUGAUGCAUUCAACGAGUUUUACCUUGGCCGAGAGGCCUGGGCAAUCUUUUAAACCUGCAUCGUGAUAGGGAUAGAUUAUUGCAAUUAUUAAUCUUGAACGAGGAAUUCCUAGUAAACGCAAAUCAUCAAUUUGCAUUGAUUACGUCCCUGCCCUUUGUACACACCGCCCGUCGCACCUACCGAUUGAAUGGUCCGGUGAAGCCUCGGGAUUGUGGCCAGUUCACUUUAUUGGGAGUUGGCUGUGAGAACUUGUCUAAACCUUAUCAUUUAGAGGAAGGUGAGGUCGUAACA